rnacentral:lncRNA from 1 species
GCCAGGAAUAAGUCUUGCAGUUGAGGGAUAGAAGUCAACGAGCGGCAGACGUGGAGGCACCCCUGCCGCUCGUGUGCUUCGAUGGGCGCGGUCAAGUCGUAGCGACGCGGAGAGAUAAAUAAAGGAGGCUUUUAUAUUAAAAGACCGCACCGCGGCCGGGGUCUGGGACGACGGCGGUGUACAUACCGCCCGGGCCAGGAGAACCGUUACAACUUCUCCACGGUCGCCGGGUAGGAGGGAGGACAUCAAGAAGGAAACAAAGACCGAGAGUCAGGACACUCCGUUAUUGGAAGCACGGAAGGGGCGGUGGCGGCGGCGGCAGCGGCGGUGGCGGCGCCGCCUCGCGCGCUGGCUCGCUAGGCCGUGGGCGUCCAGCUCUCGAACUUGCCGGCGACGAAGUCGUAGUACCCUCCGAUGAUGGAGAGGGUCUUGUUUUGGAUUCCCUCCUUCACGAAGGGGUACGUGAGGAGGUUCUCGAGGGAGACGUCCACCGCCACCUGAGAGAAUGAAGAAGAAGAUGAUCGCGAUGACGAUGACGAUGACGAAGAAGAAGAAGAAGAAGAAGAAGCGGCACGCUUUCUCACCU